GAGUAACACGUGGGUAACCUGACCCAUAAGAGGGGGAUAACAUCCGGAAACGGGUGCUAAUACCGCAUAGGUUUUCUUGAUCGCAUGAUCGGGAAAGGAAAGACGGCCUUUGUGCUGUCGCUUAUGGAUGGACCCGCGGCGUAUUAGUUAGUUGGUGAGGUAACGGCUCACCAAGACGAUGAUACGUAGCCGACCUGAGAGGGUGAUCGGCCACAUUGGGACUGAGACACGGCCCAAACUCCUACGGGAGGCAGCAGUAGGGAAUCUUCCGCAAUGGACGAAAGUCUGACGGAGCAACGCCGCGUGAGUGAAGAAAGGUUUUCGGAUCGUAAAACUCUGUUGUCAGAGAAGAACAAGUUGGAGAGUAACUGCUCCAGCCUUGACGGUAUCUGACCAGAAAGCCACGGCUAACUACGUGCCAGCCGCCGC
rnacentral:rRNA from 1 species